rnacentral:rRNA from 1 species
UACGUAGGGUGCGAGCGUUUAAUCGGAAUUACUGGGCGUAAAGCGUGCGUAGGCGGUUCUCCAAGUCCGUUGUGAAAUCCCCGGGCUUAACCUGGGAAUGGCAGUGGAAACUAGGGACUUGAAUCUGGCAGAGGGGGGUGGAAUUCCACGUGUAGCAGUGAAAUGCGUAGAGAUGUGGAGGAACACCGAUGGCGAAGGCAGCCCCCUGGGCUGAGAUUGACGCUGAGUGCACGAAAGCGUGGGGAGCAAACAGGGAUUAGACU